UAGAAAAUAAGCCUCAUUGAGUUAUCUUGCUAAGGAGAUUCCCAAAGCAUUGAAUGUAUUGCCUGCUUUAUACUUUUGCUUAUAAUAAAAUGUGAAAGGAGAGAGGCAAAAAAAAUUGAGGAAAGUAUUGUCAAGCAAAAGGGAGCCAGAAUUUCAUGUUUUUGAAAAUUCUCAGACCUUCCAGAUAGAAAAUGAUGCUAAGAUGAAGAAAUAGCUUUGAAGCAAAAAUCAAUUCAGGUACUUCCAGAAAAACAGGUUUUAGAGAUGAAGCCAGGAACCUUAUGUAAUACAUCUCAGAAAGAUCAAAGGUGGUACUUCAAGGUACUAUCCAGCCUUUAAAAGACCUGCUAAAGAGAUUAAGAAUGUACCUCACAGAGCCUCUCAAUAAAAUCAUAGGAAUCCUAAGAAACCUAAGGAUUUUCCUCAGAGAUGUUUGUGGGUGUGGCUUUCACCUAAUGAGAUUCACAGGAGUCACACACAGUUUUUCAGAGACUUUUAUCAGUAGGAAGAAUGCCCAUUUGGACUGGAAGGGAAAAACAGAGGUCAAAAUGCAAAGUGGGCAUUAGAUCACCAAAACUACAAGGCAGGAAAUAAACUGAGAAAACUGUUCAGGUGAAAUGAACGGCAAAAUAACUCAAAGGUUGAAAUCAGGGGCACAGAGAGUAAAGCCAAAGUCAUCGAGAACUAUUCUCAACCCUGAAACCUAAUUAAGGAAGUUUCAAGAUCUGACUGCAUUUUAUAAUUGCUAUGGACCAGUGACUGUUUUUUUGACUUUCAUUUUCCUUCUUUUUGUGCAGGAUUUCUAUAGCAGAAAUGCUUUGACUGCCCCAUCACUGUUUGUUGAUGGUUUGGGGGACACAUAACCUCUUAAUUUUCACAAGUCUGCAGGAACUGUUCUUCAGGAGCUGCAGUUCUUAGCUUCACCCGAGGAGCCUCAUCUACAUCUGACCUUAUUUCCAUAUGAAAUUCUGGGUUUUGUUCAGGGCUCUUUCUCUGGGAAGCAAGCUGCCAUAUUGUCAGUACCCUUCUGGAAACACUCAUGUGGAGAGACUCUUACAUUUCUGGCCAACAACCAGCAUGAACCUAAGGCUGCCAACAGGCAUUAGAAUGAACUUGGAAGAGGAUCCUCACCAGUUGAGCCUCGAGAUGACUGGCAGCCUUGGCCAAUGCCUUAUUGCUUGUUAGAGUCCAUGAACCAAAAGCACCCAGCUAAACUGCACCCAGAUACUUGACUCACAGAA
rnacentral:lncRNA from 13 species